AUUGAACGCUGGCGGCAGGCCUAACACAUGCAAGUCGAGCGGAUGAAGGGAGCUUGCUCCUGGAUUCAGCGGCGGACGGGUGAGUAAUGCCUAGGAAUCUGCCUGGUAGUGGGGGAUAACGUCCGGAAACGGGCGCUAAUACCGCAUACGUCCUGAGGGAGAAAGUGGGGGAUCUUCGGACCUCACGCUAUCAGAUGAGCCUAGGUCGGAUUAGCUAGUUGGUGGGGUAAAGGCCUACCAAGGCGACGAUCCGUAACUGGUCUGAGAGGAUGAUCAGUCACACUGGAACUGAGACACGGUCCAGACUCCUACGGGAGGCAGCAGUGGGGAAUAUUGGACAAUGGGCGAAAGCCUGAUACAGCCAGGCCGCGUGUGAGAAGAAGGUCUUCGGAGUGUAAAGCACUUUAAGUUGGGAGGAAGGGCAGUAAGUUAAUACCUUGCUGUUGUGACGUUACCAACAGAAUAAGCACCGGCUAACUUCGUG
rnacentral:rRNA from 1 species